rnacentral:tRNA from 1 species
GGAAGGUUGGCGGAGCGGUCGAUCGCGGCGGUCUUGAAAACCGUUGAUGUGAAAGCAUCCGGGGGUUCGAAUCCCUCACCUUCCGCCA